rnacentral:rRNA from 1 species
GACGAAGGGGGCUAGCGUUGUUCGGAAUUACUGGGCGUAAAGCGCGUGUAGGCGGUUAUCCAAGUCGGGUGUGAAAGCCUUGAGCUCAACUCAAGAAAUGCACUCGGUACUGGGUGACUAGAGGACCGGAGAGGAUAGUGGAAUUCCCAGUGUAGUGGUGAAAUACGUAGAGAUUGGGAAGAACACCAGUGGCGAAGGCGGCUAUCUGGACGGUUUCUGACACUAAGACUCGAAAGCGUGGGGAGCAAACAGG